CAUGGAUCGAUCUACGUUUCAGCUGAGUUCUGAAACUUGCUUAGCUGCUAGUAGCAGUCAAAAUUGUAUGGUAACGCUAUGAUAAUUUGGUUUCAGAUGAACGAAUCCUAUCAACACCCAAGCAAAUGGACGGACGUGAGUCCGCCGUUCGAGAACCGUGAGCCAAACACACACCUAAUGUCGUACAACAUCCAACACUUGGACCGAGCUCCGUCUACGAGGCUCUGGUCCAAGCCAAAAAUCGCUACGGCUGGAAUGAGGUGUCUGAGAUGUUCCAGUUUUACACCCGCGCAGCUGGUGAGGAUUCUUACGAUUUUACCGAGGACCAAGAAAUGAAUGAAUUAGAAUUAGUUGCCAGUUGGUCAACGCGGAUAGUGCCCUCUUUAGUUCCCCUUUCUAUCAUCCUGUCGAUUCUUCUUUCAACAUGAAAGUAAGUAUACUGCCCCAAUUGUGUUUUUCAUAUCCCUUAUUCCGAUUAAAAUCAUUGGAAGAACACGUUUUAAUAAAAUAUUUGAGGAAUGAACACUUUUCUUAUUUGACAAAGAUAUUUUAUGAAAAAAAACGUAGAAAAUGGAUCGUAUUAAAAACUAAAGUCUUAAUGUGAUUCGGGUGUUUCUAGACCUAUUUUAUUCAUUCAACUUUUUUUCUCAGUAGAAAAAGAGAAUUCUAGGAAUGGGUCAAUGAAUGUGCUAAUCAAUUGAUGAGUGAAAAUUAACAAGUAACAGCAAGUGUGUUUGUCUCAAAUAUUCUGACAAGUAUGUCCAUGUACUCACUCCUAAAUUUGAGUAUAAUGUGUUCCCAAUGGAAUUGAAUGCUUGAUUGGAAUGAAGAUCGAAAUGAAGUCAGUGCCGUUUUACUCGAAACUCAUCUGAAUAUGUAAUUUUUAAACGCAGAAUCAAAGGCAUAAUAAAAUAAUGUGCAAUUUUCACCCUCAUCUCCGCAUUUUCCCUAAUGUGAGGUUUUUUUACAAUAUGUUCUCAAUUUUUGGAUUUACUUUUAGAUUACCUGCUUACAGGGUGUUUUAUUUUUGACCCUUGUCGUCUAUCGUUUAAAGUACUUGAAAAUCAUUGGAUUCUAAUUCUCACUUUUAAUUUUUUUCUGUUUCAGUGGAGAGCGACAAUAGACAUGUAUAAACUCUGUACCACUACGUUAGAGAUAUGUAAAUUACGUCUGAAAGAAGAAUCUGAGAGAUUUUUGUACAAAAUGUUUCUUUGUUUUUUUUCUGAACUCUUUUUCUACCGAGUUUUUAAAGUCUUCAUUGUGUACAGCCCCUUCAGUCAUCACCAUUAUUUUGGCCUCCUUUUUUAAAGUCCCCUAGAGUUACGAGAUAUUUUGUAUAAAGAUUCCACGUUUGAAAUUUUCAUCACGAAAAGCACCAUUGCUUAUUCAUCAAUCAUUGUAAAAGAGAAAUUAUACUAUUUUCCCUUUCCUUUGUAUAUAUACUUUAACCUUGCUAAAAGCAUAGAGGUAUGAAUUGUAUAUUGUCCUGAAUUUUCAAUAUUCCGAAUGCAACUCUCCCGGAAUUUAGAUACAAGAAUGAUAUAUUGUGGUGCUUCACGAAGAUUGAAGUAAAUGAAGCGAAAAUCCACAACAUUAGUCAUGCAUUGGGUCUGAGAGGUCGAACCAACUCGAGUUUUCGGGAAAAAUGAAACAUUGCGGGUAGUAUGACUGAAAAUAUUCGUUCCCUCAGCAAAAAUAUUGAUCGUAUGAUCAUUAAAUUAUUUCAGGGGAUUUCAAGUCUCUUCAAUUAUCAGUCAACAUUAUCUAAAUGAAGAACAUUAAGAUUCUGAGAUCCUACCUUGAAAGAUAUGUAAUUAUUUUGGCCUCAGGGUAGUUUUUUGCAUUUUAGCAGCGGCUCUAAAUCUCUGAUAACCUCUCCAAAACCAUAGGUUUAUAACCCCGUACUGUUUUCUCAGAGAAGUUUGAUAAGUCUGAUAAUUUUAUAUGUGUCCUCCUUGAAGCUUUAUUUUGAGUUGUAACAUGUCAUCCAUCUGAUGGACUCAUUUUGAAAUAGCCGUUGGUUAAUUCAAAAUUGCUGAGUAUUGCGUCCUUUAUGGUUGUAAGAUUUGAAACUCAAUUUUCGCAUUGACCAGUGAAGUAUGUUAUUCAGUAUUUACUUUUUUCACCUGCAACUCUUUUCGUGAUUCUUCCCUCAUACUUCACGAUAUUAUGUAGUAUCAGUGGCGAGGCGUGAAUGAUCGAUUAUCGAUAUUUCCCCAUUUAAAACUAUGGUAAAGAAUUGAUUAUUAAAUUGUUCGUUGCGAACACCCUGUUUAUCGAUCCUCUUCCAUUGGUUUAAAUGGCAGGACAAUCGAUUUAUCGUUAAGCACGCCCCGUGGUUAAAGUCGGUCCCGCGAAUUCAAUCAAGCAUUAUUUUGUAAGUUCCUCGUUUUGUUUUACCAGCUGUAGAUGGCUUUUCCUCGCUGAUAUUAGGCACUUGAUGAAUGUAUAGUUGUAAGCUACCUAUUAGAGAAUUAAGUAUGCAUGCGUGGUUUGUAUUUUCCUGUUUUAGAGAUUCUCUAAUUGAGAUUAUGUAUUUUUCCUGUAAUCUUAGGUUGACAAUUUUGUAUACCUUCUUCCUGGUUGACGUUACUUAUACCACAUUCUUAUUUCACGUUUUGAGGUCGAGUAUAACUACGCCACGAGGCUUUCGUGCAAGUUUUUACUUUACUCAUUUUUUUUUUGUUGACACUAACGUCUAAUAAUUCUCUGCCAAAAACUUAGCUUUGAGAAACUAACUGCUACUAUCAGCAAUUGUCACAAAUGAUGUUUAAAAUUAAUAAUAUACGUAAAAAUGAAAAAAAAAAAUGAAUGAGCCAAGAAUGUAAUUCCUGCGGCCAUAACUAUUGUAGCUCAAAACUUUUAAGGCUCUUUUGUCAUGCUUAAAAAACUGACGUUUAUGUUUUAAAGAAUGUUAUGUAACAAUUUUAGUCCUAAAAUUUCCCGAAUCGAUAUUUCCUUCCCACGGGAAAUUCCUUCAACCAUACUUUUUGCAGAAAAAUUAUUUCUUGCGGCACAGUAAACUCAAUUGCAAUAUCUAGCCUGUAAAAAUGUCAUGUAAAUAUUGUAAGUACUUCCUGUAGGAGCAUUUUACAUCUAUGCGUACCUAGUUAAUGGGUGAAUCGACUUCACCCCCUGUACAUAGAAUUUUUUCCUCACAAUCACAAAAGGCAGAUAAGUUAUUCUGUCUUAAAACUUUUUAAUCUCACCAAUUGUUUUCUGUCCUAUAAAAAUGUUUUCAUCGCAUCAAUGUAUUUUCUUUGGGUUUUCCCUUACCUAUUUUUGGAUUUUGAUUUGUUGCCAAAUUUUGUAAUUAUGAAGUAAAAAUCAUUCCAUCAGCCAAUUUGACUUCUUUACAACUCAUUCCAAUCUCAUCACUCUUUUUAAGUUAAGACUGAAACAUCAACUUAAUUUUCCACAGAAGUAGUCAAAGUGUGUUUAAAAUGCCGAAGACUUUUUUAUGCGCUAAGUUCUGAGUAAGAUCAAUUAAACCGAUAUUUGAAUACAUUUAUUCCAUCGGUUUUGAAGUCUUUUCUUCCAAUUUUUUUGAAGGUAAGAAAUACUGUUUUUCAUGUUUGGUAAAAUAUCGGCGCUUCGUGAGCCCCUCCUCAUCUGCCGUAUGCAACUCCCCCAGUUUCGGUUAGUUUGACUGGACAUCGAAUAUCCAGGGGUAGUUAAAAAAAAAAAAAAAAUCUUGACACGAAACAACUCUCGCCGAAGCACUAAUUUUUAGGCAUGCGCCCUUUAAGGCGUUUGAGAGACAUUUAAAUAUGUUUCUAUUUCUUUUUUUAAUUUUUUUAAAAUGAUAAUUAUUUGGGUACAUUACAGUACAUUUGGAGCAACCUUGACCUUAACAUUUCUGAAACUCCAAAAAUGAGAGAUACCUCAUCUUGCGUUGAUGACGGCGCAGAGAUACAACUAUUCAUGCUUGAUGGGUGUCCGUGUUGCAUCUGCAAAAUUGAAGGCGCCAUUGCUUGAGGCGCAAACUCUCAAUACUCCGCCCUAUGCUGCCGAUGAGGUGCCGCUCACAAUCAAAUUCGGAAUUGAAGUUAAAAAGAAACCCGAUUAAGUCUCUGCUAUCUUCAACUGUGUUGACACUCGUUUUUUUUAUUAAGAUAUAUUUGUUGACCUUUAUCCAAAGCUCAUAUCUAUUGUUCUACUGGCUCUCUAAAUGCUUGUUAACCUCCAUGAAUUGGGAAUUCCAUAAAUACUCAGUCCAUAACUA
rnacentral:lncRNA from 1 species